rnacentral:snoRNA from 2 species
CCGUCUUUUGCCAUUGCUCGAUCAGCCCAGUCACAACGACUGAUCUUGAGCCGGAUGCCCACACUUGUGUAGGUAUGAGACAAGAACAAUCCAGCAACGUUUUUUGAGUACGGGGUCUUUAGUGUUUUCACCAAAUGGAGCCUCCCGUAAUUUAUCUGUUGUUACAUCU